CUUGUGUGUUUGCACGGUACCUGGCACUCCUGUGUGCCUGUUUGUCUCCCUGCCAGACUCCCCCUAAGAGCUGGGACCAUGCCCUGCUGUAUCCUUGGUGCUUGGCACAUUCCUUGGCAUGGAAUAGAAUUCAAAAUAUUUGGAAUAAACAAAGGACGCCGCCAUAGGGAUUCCCAGCUGGUUGACUCAUCCUUCUGUGGAAGCCAAAGAAUGGACCCAGACAUGGAUGAAGGUCGGGUGAAGGUCAUGAACACUGCAACACAGGCGCCAUCCCAUGUGACGUCCUUUCUGAACGACUCCACUGAAGACGAGCUUUGCUCUGACUCGCGAGGCCUGCGAAGCCAGGCAGAAGUCAGGGUGUUGGGAAACGGCCAAAGAGAGGAGAUAAGAGGUUGUGGCUGUGGCUCCAUCCUGGUUGAGGGCCUGGUCACUAAACACAAGCCCGGAUGAAGACACUCACCUUCUUCCCAAGGGUUCUCAGGCUGAAGGAGAAGUUGUUUUUCAUUUUUUCUUUUUCUUUUCUUCCAUUUUGUGUUGAAUUUCCAAUCCAUUAUGAACCCACACUUUUGUAAUGCU
ensembl:lncRNA